rnacentral:rRNA from 1 species
AGUCGCGCGGUAGCACAGAGGGCUUGGUCUCGGGUGAGAAGAGGGGGGCGGGGGAGAAAUGUGUGGGGAUAUCUCCGAUAUAGAGGGAUAUCCACUGUGAACGGGGGGUAUUAUACCAUAUCGCCGCAAGACCCCAGAGGGGGACCUCCGGGCCUCUCUCUAUCUCGUGAGCCCCCCCCAGGGUUAUAUAUAAUGCGGGGUAUUGUGCCCCCUAUGCGACAAUCCCUCUCUGUGCUGAGAGAAGGAGCCCCCCCACUGUGACUGUGACACGCGCCCCACUCCUACGGGAGGCGCCACUGGGGAAUAUUGCGCACUGGGCGCGCGCCUGUUGCGCCCAUGCCCCGCGUAUGAGAAAAGCCUCCUCGUUGUGAAGUACUUUCUCCGGGGAGGAAAGCGGGGAGGGGAUUAUCCUCGCCGAUUGAGACUACCCCCACAAAAAACACCGCGUAUCUCUCCGCGACCACCCGCGGGAAUACAGAGGGGGCGCGCGCGAUUCUCAAUUUCUGUGCGCGUAGCGCACACACGCGCGCUCUGAUAUCUCAUGUGAGAUCCCCCCGCUUUUCCUGUGAGCUGUGUUUGAGACUGUGACGCUUUAGACUCUCAUAGAGGGGUAUAAAUCCCCGUGUGUCGCGGAGAUGCGCAUAGAUCUGUGGAAAUAUCGCUGUGGCAAAGCGCGCCCCUGUGCACAAAACUGUCGACUCUCGUGCGAAAAGCGCGUGGGAGCAACACACG